GUUAAAGAAGCGAAUACGCCCUAAGUUUCGGCCUUAGUAUUGAAGAUUAUCUUCCUUUAAUU
rnacentral:tRNA from 1 species